GAGUCGGCCGCUUAAGUGACUGAGCCACUGAGGCGCACCCCAAUAAGUCUGUGUUUUUAAACACCACACAGCUCCAUGUGUCUCCUUGUCUUCCAAACCCAGGCAGUACUAGAACGGCUAUGCGGAAGCUCUAGUGGGCUGCGAUAUGAGAACCAGCUCCAAUGUGAAAUUUACAACCACAGAGCACAGGGCACCAAGCAAAUUUUUGCUUUGACAAGAGUUUGGCGGGAAGGCCAACGUCAUCGUCACUCAGGUCAUCUUCUGGUAGUUGCACGGUGGCUCUUUGUUCAUUUGUGCGGUGUAGAAGAAUGUUUGUCAUCCACAGGAGAAAAUGGUUUUGUUGACAUCUGUACUAGCUAUUGUCAACUCGCCUGAAGCUCUGAAUCCUUACUGGUCUUAGACACUUAGUGGCUAAAGAUUCAUGAUAGCGACCAAAGAAAGGUACAGAUUUACUUCAGUUAAAGAAGGCACAGUCUUAUUUUCAGGAACAUUGCAUGAUGGAGGUCCUGGGGAGAAUAUAAAAACACUGAUCUUUUUUGCCAAUUUAUUCAUGUCAUAUAUAAUCUUAUAUGGUCAUAAUGGGUUUGUAACAUUUCCUACAUUUCAUUACCUCUCAAGAACUGGGUUGACUGGGCUUCUGGGAUGGUUCUACCUCGUGUACCUUGGUGGGAGUUGCAGUCAUGUGGUGUCCCAGCUAAGCUGCCAUGUACGAGAUGCUUCACUCAUAGGCCAGGAGCGGAUGCAGGCUGUCGGCUGGGAGUCCAGCUAGACUGUGGACUGCAGUGCCUUCGUGGGGUCUUCUCCUCCAGUCUGGCUUUUGAGGGAGACUGUUUAAAAAGCAGCAUUCUAUGAGUCCCCUACUCUUUUCAGGGAGAAUCUCUUGCUCCUCAAUUUCCAAAGGAGAGAAUAUUUAAAUUCCACUCUCUGGGAAGAGCAUAAUAUUCACUCCUUCUCAUAGAAAUAGAAGUAAUUUGGGGGAAAGAAGUUGGCGGAAAGCCUGACAUCCACUGUUUCCAGACACUGGAGUAGAGUUUCUUUGCCUCAAAGCAAGAAAUGAGUUCCAUGUCCCCUCGCUUCAGUUCCCGGUCACCCUGGACCCAUGCAUCUCCUGCCUGGGGCUUCCUGUGUCCAUACUCUCAGCUGACCAAAGAAGGCCUGUUUCUGGCUGACUCAGCAGAGAGACAAUGCCAGCGUUCGGUUUGGUUUUGUUUGUUUCUGUUUGUUCAUCACCAAGAGUCUACUGAAAAGUGAACAAGACCAAAAUCAAGAUUCCCUAUCAGGGCUCCUGCUGGGACCUGCACACAACCCCUUAAACCAAAUUGACCUUUGCAGCUGAGGGAAUUUCAAAUCUCGGCACUGGGCUUCGGCGUUCCUGUUAGUGUCUGCAUGGCUUCCAUGGAGGACUGUGGGCCUUUCUCUGUAAUUUGUGCUCAGCUGUUGCAGCGAGAUUGUCCCUUUGUAAGCAUCUCAUGAGUAAUCUGAGGUCAUCAGUCAUGUGAGUAUCGCUGACUGAGAGGCCAACCUGGCAGGGGGCACGGGAGAGGGGAGAUUUGGAAAAUACACAGCAGUAUCAGAGAGGAGCUUGAGUUUGUGCGUCAGGGUAGAGGUGCUGGAGAGACAGGGAGGCACAAUCAGGACGGAUGAGACAGGCUAACCGGGCUCAUUUGACCUGGACCAGAGCGCUGACCCUCCCAGAGACACAUGGGACAGAAGAUGACUCCGCACCUCACCUCACUUCACCAGUUGGCCCCCAAGUCUGUCUGCUCCUUUUUUCGAGAUUGAAAUAAAAGAGAAAUUUCCAAACCUC